rnacentral:rRNA from 1 species
CCUACGGGGGGCAGCAGUGAGGAAUAUUGGUCAAUGGGCGAGAGCCUGAACCAGCCAAGUCGCGUGAAGGAUGACGGCCCUACGGGUUGUAAACUUCUUUUGUCAGGGAGCAAGGGGGGCCACGCGUGGGCUUAGCGAGAGGACCUGAAGAAAAAGCAUCGGCUAACUCCGUGCCAGCAGCCGCGGUAAGACGGAGGAUGCGAGCGUUAUCCGGAUUGAUUGGGUUUAAAGGGUGCGUAGGCGGAAUAUCAAGUCAGCGGUAAAAAUUCGGGGCUCAACCCCGUCGUGCCGUUGAAACUGAUGUUCUUGAGUGGGCGUGAAGUAUGCGGCAUGCGUGGUGUAGCGGUGACAUGCC